rnacentral:rRNA from 1 species
GAUGAACGCUGGCGGCGUGCCUAAUACAUGCAAGUCGAACGCGCCGAGAAGGGAACUUGUUCCUUUCAACGCGAGUGGCGAACGGGUGAGUAACACGUGGGAAACCUACCCUUCAGCGGGGGAUAACCAUCGGAAACGAUGACUAAUACCGCAUAGUUGUUCUAGUCGCAUGACUGGAAUGGGAAAGACGGCUUCGGCUGUCACUGAAGGAUGGUCCCGCGGUGCAUUAGCUAGACGGUGGGGUAACGGCCUACCGUGGCUUUGAUGCAUAGCCGACCUGAGAGGGUGAUCGGCCACAUUGGGACUGAGACACGGCCCAAACUCCUACGGGAGGCAGCAGUAGGGAAUCUUCCGCAAUGGACGCAAGUCUGACGGAGCAACGCCGCGUGUGUGAAGAAGGUCUUCGGAUCGUAAAGCACUGUUAUCAGAGAAGAAUAGCCUGUAGAGUAACUGUUAUAGGUUUGACGGUAACUGAUCAGAAAGCCACGGCUAACUACGUGCCAGCAGCCGCGGUAAUACGUAGGUGGCAAGCGUUAUCCGGAUUUAUUGGGCGUAAAGGGAGCGCAGGCGGUUGAUUAAGUCUGAUGUGAAAGCCCACGGCUCAACCGUGGAGUUGCAUUGGAAACUGGUCAACUUGAGUACAGAAGAGGAAAGCGGAAUUCCAUGUGUAGCGGUGAAAUGCGUAGAUAUAUGGAGGAACACCAGUGGCGAAGGCGGCUUUCUGGUCUGAAACUGACGCUGAGGCUCGAAAGCGUGGGGAGCAAACAGG